rnacentral:rRNA from 1 species
GACGGGACCCGCACAAGCGGUGGAUGAUGUGGUUUAAUUCGAUGCAACGCGAAAAACCUUACCCACCUUUGACAUGUACGGAACCCUUUAGAGAUAGAGGGGUGCUCGAAAGAGAGCCGUAACACAGGUGCUGCAUGGCUGUCGUCAGCUCGUGUCGUGAGAUGUUGGGUUAAGUCCCGCAACGAGCGCAACCCUUGUCAUUAGUUGCUACAUUCAGUUGGGCACUCUAAUGAGACUGCCGGUGACAAGCCGGAGGAAGGUGGGGAUGACGUCAAGUCCUCAUGGCCCUUAUAGGUGGGGCUACACACGUCAUACAAUGGCUGGUACAAAGGGUUGCCAACCCGCGAGGGGGAGCCAAUCCCAUAAAGCCAGUCGUAGUCCGGAUCGUAGUCUGCAACUCGACUACGUGAAGUCGGAAUCGCUAGUAAUCGUGGAUCAGAAUGUCACGGUGAAUACGUUCCCGGGUCUU